AUUGUUCUUCGUCUUUGUUAGGGUUGAUGAAGCAGCCAUGAUUGAAAACAUCGCUGCUGAAAUUUCGAACAAGCUUAAUCAUUUGACACCAUUACGUGAUUUUGACUGUUUAAUUGGGAUGGAAGCUCAUAUGAAAAGGAUGGAACAGUAUUUACGUCUAGACUUGGAUGAAGUGAGGAUGAUUGGGAUUUGGGGUCCGCCUGGGAUUGGGAAGACCACAAUUGCCAGGUUUCUGUUUAACCAAGUUUCCAGCCGUUUCCAGAAUAGCGCACUCAUUGAGGACAUCAAAGGAAGCUAUCCGAAACCUUGUUUUGAUGAGUACAACGCAAAGUUGCAACUACAAUAUAAAAUGUUGUCUCGGAUGAUCAACCAGAAAGAUAUCAUGAUCCCUCAUUUAGGAGUCGCACAAGAACGAUUGAGAAAUAGGAACGUGUUUCUCGUUCUUGAUGAUGUGGAUCGGUUAGCACAACUAGAAGCCUUGACCAACAAUGUUCAGUGGUUUGGUCCUAGAAGUCGGAUUAUCAUCACAACAGAAGAUCGAAGUCUUUUGAACGCACAUGGGAUCAACCAUAUAUACAAGGUUGGUUUUCCAUCAAAUGAUGAGGCUCUUCAAAUGUUCUGCAUGUAUGCUUUUGGUCAAAAGUCCCCUAAAGACGGUUUUUAUGAACUUGCGCGUGAAAUUACAUACCUUGUCGGUGAACUUCCUUUAGGACUAAGGGUUAUUGGAUCCCACUUUCGUGGAUUGUCCAAGGAGCAGUGGUCAAUGGAAAUAUCAAGGUUAAGGACUAACCUUGAUGGAGAUAUUGAGAGCAUUUUGAAGUUCAGUUAUGAUGCUUUAUGUGAUGAAGAUAAAGAUUUAUUCCUUCAUAUAGCUUGCUUUUUCAACAACGAAAAUAUAAACAAAUUAGAAGAAUUUAUUGGCCAAAGAUUCAAGGAUUUGAGUCAAAGGCUAUUGGGAGAACCGGAGAUCGACCGAGAUCGACGAUCGAGAUGAUCGCCCAAGAUUACUCUCAUCAAUACCAUGAUAUCUUUACGUUUUAGAGGAGAAAUCUCUCAUAUCUAUUGAAAGAUUUCUUGAAUAUGUGAGUAUAAAAAUGCACAAUUUGCUGGCCCAACUAGGUAAAGAAAUCGUCCGUAAAGAAUCUCGUGAGCCUGGGCAACGCCGAUUUUUGUUUGAUAAUAAAGAUAUUUGUGAAGUAGUCUCUGGUUAUACAACUGUAAGUCUUUCCAUUAUUCUUUCAUUGCAGUGCUCACCAUAACUUGAGUCUAUUUUAUCAUCUCUACUUAUCUUUGGGUCUUUUUUCUCAGAAUACUGGAAGUGUUGUAGGCAUAAACUCCAAUUAUGGGUUAAAUAUAACUGAGAGAGCCUUUGAAGGAAUGCCUAAUCUCCAGUUCUUAAGAGUCGGAUACAAUACUCAUCAUCCAAACAUUAUAUCUUCUUCAGGACCUCUAAUUUUUAUAUCUCCGAAGCUACGAUUAAUAGAUUAGUGGUUUUUCCCGAUGACAUCUUUCCCUUUUAUUAAUAAUCUGGAAUUCCUUGUCGAAUUAAGUAUGCGUUAUAGCAAACUUGAGAAGCUGUGGGACGGAAUCAAAGUAAGUAAUUUAAAUUUUUUAAUUGUUUUAAAUUUUAGUUUUGUAUGUAGAAUAUCCUCUCUUGUACAUUAAAUUAACUUGAAAAAUUAUAUUUUACUUGCUACUUCGUUUCUAGCAUGAAAAUAUAUACAUUUUUUAAAUUUUAUGUGUUCAAUUGCUAAGUGUAUCAAAGUAAUUGUCUAUUUUGUCAUUAUUCUCCUUUACAGCUGCUUCGAAACCUCAAGUGUAUGGAUUUGGCAAAUUCUGAAAACCUGAAGGAGCUUCCUAAUCUCUCAAUGGCCACUAGUCUUGAGGAGUUAAACCUUGAAGGAUGUUCAAGUCUGGUGGAGCUCCCUUCUUCUGUUGGUAAUUUAACUAAUCUCCAGAAAUUAUCACUUGAAGGAUGCUCAAGGCUUGUAUCACUCCCACAGCUUCCAGAUUCCCCAAUGGUCCUAGAUGCAGAAAAUUGUGAGUCCCUAGAGAAACUAGAUUGCUCCUUUUACAAUCCAUGUAUUCAUCUCAACUUCGCUAACUGCUUCAAACUAAAUCAAGAAGCAAGAGAUCUCCUCAUCCAGACAUCAACUGCUAGAUUGGUGGUCUUACCCGGUAAAGAAGUUGAUACUUGCCACUUCGUUUAAUAUAGAUUAACUUGAAAGAUUAUAUUAUACUUGCCACUUCGUUUCUAGCAUGAAAAUGUAUCUUUUAAAAUUUUUGUGUUCAAUUGCUAAGUGUAUCAAAGUAAUUGUGUAUUUUGUCAUUAUUCUCCUUUACAGCUGCUUCGAAAUCUCAAGCGUAUGGAUUUGGCAUAUUCUGAAAACCUGAAGGAACUUCCUAAUUUCUCGAUGGCCACUAGUCUUGAGCAUUUAGAUCUUAGAGGCUGUUUAAGUCUGGAGGAGCUCCCUUCUUCUAUUGGAGAUUUAACUAAUCUAUGGAAAUUAGAUCUUAGAGGCUGUUUAAGUUUGGUGGAGGUCCCUUCUUCUAUUGGGGAUUUAACUAAUGUUUGGGAAUUAUAUCUUAGUGAAUGUUUAAGUUUGGUGGAGCUCCCUUCUUCUAUUGGGAAUUUAACUAAUCUCCAUGCAUUAGUACUUAAAGGAUGUUCAAGUCUAGUGGAGCUCCCUUCUUCUAUUGGGAAUUUAACUAAUCUCCAUAAAUUAUCACUUGAAGGAUGCUCAAGGCUUGUAUCACUCCCACAGCUUCCAGAUUCCCUAAUGGUCCUAAAUGCAGAAAAUUGUGAGUCCCUAGAGAAACUAGAUUGCUCCUUUAGCAAUCCGGGUACUUGGCUUAACUUUUCUUACUGCUUCAAACUAAAUAAAGAAGCAAGAGAUCUCCUCAUCCAGACAUCAUCUGUUAACGUUGUGGUCUUACCCUGUAAAGAAGUGCCUGCGUGCUUCACUUACAGAGGUUAUGGGAAUUCCGUAACAGUGAAGUUGAAUCAAAAGCCUCUUCCUACAUCAAUUAAAUUUAAGGCUUGUUGAAGGUUAUGGGUCGGUGUUUUGUUGCAUCAGAGACAAACUGAAUCGUUUCUCAGUCCACUCUCCAAUUAUAACGGAGCAUCUAUACAUUUUCGAAGUUGAAGUAGAGGAGGUGACUUCCACCGAGCUUGUUUUGGAUUUCGAGAUCUUCGAUUACGAUUCCAAGACUAGGGAGAUAAUAGAAUGCGGGAUAAUCCACAUCUUGGAACAUCAUGUUGAUGGCGACGAAAAGAUGGCGAUGAAGAUGGAGACAAUGUAGAUCUGAGACAAACAUUGAAACUCAAGUGAAACAGAGAAGCCACAAGACAAAAUUGCAAGGACGAAUGGUAAGUUUGCAUUUUCACAACUCAAGAACUUACUUUGUUGAUAAACUUUGCAUAACAACUGUUCAAUGAAAUGUCUAAGUGAGCUUUUUAAGUUUAAAGUGACAAUAGCUAGAACUGCAAUCUCCAAAAUGAUUUUUGAAUUCAAUCGUGUAGGGUUUAGAGCUGGAGCUUAAGAAACUCUUGAAGGUGAAGUUGAAGACGUCCAUGAAGAUCUAUUUAAGAAACAGGUACAAAACUUAUACAUUCUUUUGAUUUAUGUGUUUUGUUUGUCUUCUCAAUUCAUGACAAUACAAAUAUAAAUUGUUUGUGAUAUCUUGCUCUAGGCACAAGUAAAGUCGUUUCAAUAUGCAUUUGUCAAGUGAAUUGUGUCUUUUACCCACAUGUUCCUCUCUGUUUCUCAUUUGAAUAAUCAGUUUGUUCCUGUUUCAGUAUUGCUUAAUUCUAUUCCUGAAAUUCGUUAGAACAUAGCAAAAGUUAAAAUGGCUCUGAGAUUUUAGAGUAGGCUUCUAGUUUAUGUUCUCUGUAUGAAUGAAGACAUGCUAUUUUAUUCUAUAUGAAUAGGUGAACUAUUCCAUUUGGCCUCUCAAGUUUCACAAUUCUUGAUUUUGCUGCAACUUUUUUUGUAGCAUAUAUUGGCCUCUUGAAAUUUAGUUAUCUUUAAUUAAGGUUUAAUAAAAGUAAAAUCUGUAUGGGACUAAGAAGAACAAGUAUUGAAUGAGGUUUAUUGGGUGACAAGGCACCUAUAUAGGAACUUGACAAGUGUAAUGGAUUUGCUCAUUCUAUUAGACGGUGUAACCGAAUCAAGAUGUUGGAUUGUGUUGUAUUAGGUAGCGAAUAUGGGCGGUUACGGACAAAUGAAUUCGAAAUUUGGUGAUAGAAUUGGAAAUGUGGAUGCCAUUGAUUUUCCAAUGCAAAGCAGAAGAAUCUCAGGAGGUCUUUUCUCUUUUUUCUUGACAAGAAGUUUCAACAGCCAUUUCCACUUCCAAUUCUUAUCGAUAAUAUUCAAUUUCAACUGAAAACGAAGAACUCGUGGCUAAUUAUAUGCUGACAAAGUAUGUUAUCUUUCAUGUUAGGUGAUGUGUAAAAUUUUGUUCACUCAUUUAACUUGUAAUUAGUCUCCUAUUACAUAUAAUUUAUAAUAGACUCUAGUUAUAGGAAUCCGAACUAAAUUUCUCUUGAUAAAAAUAUGAUCGUGGUGUUCCUCGUGUUUAACAAAUUGCAAACUAUUAACUUUCAACAGAGUUGUGUGACUUGAGAAAAACAGAGGACUUUGUUGGUAUGAAGUCUCAUAGUAUAAACAGAAGACUCUGUUUCACACAGUUACGAAAAAAUCUGUAGAAAUCAAACCUUUUGUACAGAAGCAAGAAUUUUGUAACCUUCUUAGCUACAUAACAUUAACAUUGGAUCUUUAUACUCUUUGGAUUUUUCAUAAAACGACAUGAAUAUAUGUCCUCAAUACGAAACAUAGCCUGAUGCAUUAUCUCGUCGGCGCAUGUGAACUUAGAUUUAAGUCUAUAGAAUCCGUUUUUGCUAUUAAAAAAUCCAAAACCCUCUUAGAAAUAUGAUUCAACAAAUCCAAAAUCAACUAGGAAAUAUCCAUAAGCAAUAGAAACUUUCCAAGGAAUGACUUAUCUGCAUAGCCAAAUGUUAGUAUUCAGUAAUAUGAAUCAUCACUUAUGAGAUUGUUUGGUAUGAACCUUACUUUUCCUUAGAAUAACAUUUAUAUUUUCUUUAGAAGUGUCUCUGAAGUGAUUAGCUGUUAAAGAGUAAAUAGCUACAAAUUCCGUUAAUAGUGGAGGGACAAUGAUUACUCUCAUAAACCUUUAUGUUCACAGAAAUUUAUUUAUAAAGAUUAAUUGAUGGUUCUGAGUCUUUUAGAGAGUGUUGUGUGGAUUCAGCUUCUCGUUUAUGUCGUCUGUAUGACUAAGAACUGUUAUAAUUGUUUGUCAAACAUGUAAUAAACUUGAAGGAGUUGAAGAUCUAAUUUACCUACUUCAGAAAUAGGUACAAAACUUAAUUAAUCGAUACAUUCUUUGAUAUAUGUGUUUUGUUUGUCUUCUCAAUUCAUGGCAAUACAUAUAAAAAAUGUUUGUGAUAUUUAGAUGUUCAGUAAAAACUCUAGGCACAAAGUAGAGCCGUUUCAAUAUGCAUUUGCCAAAUGAAUUGUGUCUUUUUUGAUAUGGCAGAAGAGAAAUCACACAGUUACAUGUCAAAUUUAACAAAAUGGAGAUUUUGACAAAGCUCUUCUCAUAUUACAUGAUCAUGACACAUUACACUAGAGAUCACAUCCACACAAGCUUUAGUAUUUUAUCUUGUUGAAAUUGAAAUUAUCAUAAGACGAAAAAGGACUAAAUUUUUAUUAAGAAGACAAUUGACUUUUACAAUUCACCUACUAUGUUAUAACGCCAACCAAAACUUGAUUCAGGCAAGAAGUCCAAAAAAAUUCCAUUUCCUUGAACAAAAAAUAAUAAUUUAGAUGUCAUGAUAAAAAGCAGAUUAAAUUUUGCUCUGUUUUCUGUUUUUGAAUCUUUCCUUUGAUUUUUAAUGUAGUUUAGACGGCAAAAAAAAAAAAUUAUUACUUCCUCCAGCGAAAGAGGGCUGUUUCAAAGCCUCCAGCGAAACACUAUGGAAAAUCUCCAAACGUUACUUCCUUUGUCAACUCUUGAUUUUGCAUAUUGGCAAAAGUCAUGAGUAUAAUAAUAAACGUAUCAAUCGGAUAUUUUGAAGUUUUUUAAUCUUUGUAAUAAGGUGAAAUAAUUGGAUGGGUUGCAUGCAUUUUCUUAUUCAAAUUAAAUUUCUCAGAGGAAAUAUCAAUUCUAAAGAUAUUUUAUGUCACGUUCUAAGCCUAUAUACAUUCAAAUUUUAAUCCUUACCCCUACAUAACUGAAAAUUCUUCUAUCGAUCAUAGUAAUGGCUUUUUCUUCUUCUUCUUCUUCUCUUUCGAUUCCUUUAUCUUCUUCGUCUCAAAACUGGGAGUACGAUGUCUUUCCCAGCUUCCACGGGAAAGAUGUACGCAAAACCUUUCUCAGCCACCAACUGAAGGAGUUCGGAAGAAAAGCAAUCAACUUUUUUGUUGAUAACGAGAUCAAGAGAGGAGAAUUCAUCGGUCCUGAACUCAAACGGGCAAUCAAAGGAUCUAAGAUUGCUGUUGUCUUGCUCUCCAAGAAUUACGCUUCUUCUUCGUGGUGUCUUGACGAAUUGGUGGAGAUCAUGAAGAAAGAGUCGGGUCAAACGGUGAUUACCAUUUUCUAUGAAGUAGAUCCAACUGAUGUGAAGAAGCAGAAGGGAGACUUUGGGAAGGUCUUCAAAAAAACUUGCAAAGGUAAAGGCAAGGAGAAGGUUCAGACAUGGAAGAAAGCUUUGGAGGGUGUGGCCACAAUCGCGGGUUACCAUUCAAGCAACUGGUUCGUUUUCUUGAUUUAAAUUCACUUGAUUUUAAUAUUUCUAACACAUCAAACUAUAUUUGUAGCAUUCAUAGUGAUUAGUUAUUAACAAGAUGUAUGUAUAAAGUGAUCUUCCUCUUUGUUAGGGUUGAUGAAUCAACCAUGAUUGAAAACAUCGCUGCUGAAAUUUCGAACAAGCUCAAUCAUUUGACGCCGUCACGUGAUUUUGACCAUUUAAUUGGGAUGGGAGCUCAAAGUCUAUUUGUUAGUCCUUACUUUCACAUAGCUCUAUUAUUAGAUCUCUGAUCUUAAAUCUUCUCUCUAUCGUAGCAAUGGCUUCUUCUGCUCUUUCGAUUCCUUCAUCUUCUUCGUCUCAAAACUGGGAGUACGAUGUCUUUCCGAGCUUCCACGGGAAAGAUGUACGCAUAACCUUUCUCCGCCACAUUCUCAAGGAGUUUGGAAGAAAAGCAAUCAACUUUUUUGUUGAUAACGAGAUCAAGAGAGGAGAGUUCAUCGGUCCUGAACUUAAACAGGCGAUCAAAGGAUCUAAGAUUACUCUUGUCUUGCUCUCCAAGAAUUACGCAUCUUCGUCGUGGUGUCUUGAUGAAUUGGUGGAGAUCAUGAAGAAAGAGUCGGGUCAAACGGUGAUUACCAUUUUCUAUGAAGUAGAUCCAACGGAUGUAAAAAAGCAGACCGGAGAUUUUGGGAAGGCCUUCAAAGAAACUUGUCAAGGUAAAACUGAGGAGAAGGUUCAGACAUGGAAGGAAGCUUUGGAGGGUGUGGCCACAAUCGCAGGUUACCAUUCAAGCAACUGGUUAGUGUUCUUGAUUUCCACUUUCUUUUAAUUCUAACACAUCAAGCCAUAUAUCUUUAAUUGUAACGUUCGAACUGAAUGUAGACAAGAGAGUCAUAAUUGAUCUUGCUCUUUGGUAGGAUUGAUGAAGCAACCACGAUCGAAAAGAUUGCUGCUGAUAUUUUAUUGGAGAUAAGCAAGAUGUGUAUCUUGCGGACCAAGUAAUAUGGACCGUUAAAGUCCAUUAUGAAGUGAAGCCCGUGAAGCCUAAACCGAAGAAUAUUCUAGAUCUCUAUAUUACUUCUUGUACAAGUUAUUUACUUAUAUGUUUAGGAAAGUUUACAUUAUGUGGGUGUUAACAUUAUGUUAAUGUUAACACUAUAUAUAUGUAUCUUAUAUUUUCAUAUGAGAGAAAACUCAAUAAAGUAUUUUAUAGAUUCUAUAAUAUUUGACAUGGUAUCAGAGCAGUCGAUCCUUGUGGAUCUGAAUUAAAUGCUUCCGCAUUAAAAAUCUUGUGGUCACAAUAACCAUGGGAUGUGAAGCCAUCGAAGACGGUGGUGACGAAGACGAUCCGGAUGAUGACGUGAAGCAAAGUUUGCUUUGACGUCCACAUGAGAGUUUUAUAUUUCUUUUAUUCUAAGUUAAUGUUUUAGGUUGAUUUUGAGUUUAUGAUUUGGUUUAGCACAAGAAUUAGAGAUCUUUGAGGAAUUAUUAUGUUUUAAGGGUUUGGGAUUUCACAAGUAGUUGUUUAUUUAUGAGAUUUAUUCUUGAGUUUAGAAUAUCUCAUUUUUUUAAUGUGAGUUUUGAUUUCUCAUAUUACGGGGGAGUUUAUUGGAACACUCAUGUUUUAGGCUAUUUUUAGUCCGGUUUGUGGACUGUCCGAGAUAGGACGAUUAUUUGUGGAGUUGCAGGAUUUGCGCCCACGGAAUAUUGUUAUUCCCUUUUACUAAGACCAAAGACGAGCUGAAGUUCCAUCCUCUUUUGAAAAUUGAAGUUUAUACCUGAGGAGACUGUUGACAUGAUUUGUCCGUCCUCGACAUGAUGUCCACGACAUAGGUGUUCUGCUUUGUCGUUGCAUAUUUUGCGUUUCGCAUCCCACCUUUGUCGUGCGGGGGAGUAUUGGAGAUAAGCAAGAUGUGUAUCUUGCGGACCAAGUAAUAUGGACCGUUAAAGUCCAUUAUGAAGUGAAGCCCGUGAAGCCUAAACCGAAGAAUAUUCUAGAUCUCUAUAUUACUUCUUGUACAAGUUAUUUACUUAUAUGUUUAGGAAAGUUUACAUUAUGUGGGUGUUAACAUUAUGUUAAUGUUAACACUAUAUAUAUGUAUCUUAUAUUUUCAUAUGAGAGACAACUCAAUAAAGUAUUUUAUAGAUUCUAUAAUAUUUGACAUAUUUCGAAAAUGCUUAAUCAUUUGACGUUGUCACGUGAUUUUGACCAUUUAAUUGGGAUGGAAGCUCAUAUGGAAAGGAUGGAACAGUUUUUACGUCUAGAUUUGGAUGAAGUGAGGAUGAUUGGGAUUUGGGGUCCGGCUUGGAUUGGGAAGACCACCAUCGCCAGGUUUUUGUUUAACCAAGUCUCAAGCAGUUUCCAAAAUAGCGCAAUAAUGGUAAAUAUCAAAGGAAGCUAUCCAAGACCUUGUCGAGAUGUGUACAAAGCAAAGUUGAAACUACAGAAAAAAAUGUUGUCCCAUAUGAUCAACCAGAAAGAUAUCGUGAUUUCUCAUUUAGGAGUCGCACAAGAACGAUUGAGACACAGGACAGUGCUUCUCGUGCUUGACGAUGUGGAUCAGUUUGCACAACUAGAAGCCUUGGCUAAAGAUGUUAAAUGGUUUGGUCCUAGAAGUCGGAUUAUCAUCACAACAGAAGAUCUAAGACUUUUGAAGAAGCAUGGGAUCAACCAUAUAUACAAGGUUGAUUUUCCAUCAAAUGAUGAGGCUCUUCAAAGGUUCUGCAUGUAUGCUUUUAACCAAAAGACCCCUGAAGAUGGUUUCGAUGCACUUGCUCGUGAAAUUACAUACCUUGUCGGUGAACUUCCUUUAGGACUAAAGGUUAUUGGAUCCCACUUUCGAAGAUUGUCCAAGGAGCAGUGGUCAAUGGAAGUAUCAAGGUUAAGGACUAACCUUGAUGGAGAUAUUGAGAGCAUUUUGAAGUUCAGUUAUGAUGCUUUAUGUGAUGAAGAUAAAGAAUUAUUCCUUCCUAUAGCUUGCCUUUUCAACCUAGUAGAUAUAAAGAUAUUAGAAGAACUUAUUGGCAAAAGAUUCAAGGAUUUGAGACGAAGGCUUUACGUUUUAGAGGAGAAAUCUCUCAUAUCUAUUGAAAUUUUGUUUGACUAUGGGUAUAUAAAGUAUGAGUAUAUAAUGAUGCAUAAUUUGAUGGCCCAACUAGGUAAAGAAAUCGUCCUUAAAGAAUUUCGUGAGCCUGGGCAUCGCCAAUUUUUGAAUGAUUAUAAAGAUAAUUGUGAAGUAGUCUCAAUAGUAAGUUUUGCCAUUAUUUUUUCAUUGCACUGCUCAUCAUAACUUGAGUUUAUUUUAACAUCUCUACUUAUUUUUUGUUCAUUUUUCUCAGAUUGUUGGGACUGUUGUAGGUGAGAAAACCUUUGAAGGAAUGCCUAAUCUCCAGUUCUUAAGAGUCGGAUACAUUCCUGAUCAUCCAAACAUUAUAUCUUCUUCGAAGCUAGAAUCACUAGAUUGGUCGUGUUUCCCGAUGACAUCUUUCCCUUUUAUUAAUAAUCUGAAAUUCCUUGUCGAAUUAAGAAUGUUAGACAGCAAACUUGAGAAGCUGUGGGACGGAAUCAAAGUAAGUCAUUUAAAUUUCUUUCUUGUUUAAAUUUUUUGUUUUGUAUGAAGAAUAUCCUCUCUUGUACAGUAAAUUAACUUGAAAGAUUAUAUUUUACUUGCCACUUCGUUUCUAGCAUGAAAAUGUAUAAUUUUUUUUUUUAAUUUUAUGUGUUCAAUUGCUAAGUGUAUCAACAUAAUUGUGUAUAUUUUGUCUUCAUUUUUCUUUACAGCUGCUUAAGAAUCUCAAGCGUAUGGAUUUGUCAAAUUCCAAAAACCUGAAAGAGCUUCCUAAUCUCUCAAAGGCCAUUAGUCUUGAGGAGUUAAACCUUGAAGGAUGUUCAAGUCUGGUGGAGCUCCCUUCUUCUGUUGGUAAUUUAACUAAUCUCCAGGAAUUAUCACUUGAAGGAUGCUCAAGGCUUGUAUCACUCCCACAGCUUCCAGAUUCCCUAAUGGUCCUAGAUGCAGAAAAUUGUGAGUCCCUAGAGAAAAUAGAUUGCUCCUUUUGCAAUCCGGGUAGUGAUGUCAUCUUCGCUAACUGCUUCAAACUAAAACAAGAAGCAAGAGAUCUCCUCAUUCAGACAUCAACUGCUAACUUGGUGGUCUUACCUGGUGAAGAAGUUCUUGCGUGCUUCACUUACAGAGGUUAUGGGAGUUCCGUAACAGUGAAGUUGAAUCAAAAGCCUCUUCCUACAUCAACCAAAUUUAAGGCUUGCAUCUUAUUUGGUAACAAGGGCGAAAAAGACGCUAUUUCUAUUUAUUGGGACACAACAUGUGUGUAUACCAAGAAGAAUAAGGGUUGCAUCUUGUUGGAUAAUAAAGGUGAACAUGAGGAACGAGGGUCGGUGUCUUGUUGCAUCAGAGACAAACUGGAUGGUUUCUUAUACCACUUGCCAAUUUUAGUGGAGCAUCUAUACAUUUUCGAAAUUGAAGUAGAGGAGGUAACUUCCACCGAGCUUGUUUUUGAUUUCGAGAUCUUCGAUGAGGAUUCCAGGACUAGGGAGAUAAAAGAAUGCGGGAUAAUCCACAUCUUGGAACAUCAUGUUGAUGGCGACGAAAAGAUGGCGAUGAAGACUAGAAGAAAACAUGUGAUUAGUGACUACAUUCGGCGACUGAUUAUGUAGUCACUAAAUUUUAGGACUGAAUUGCGAUUUUUUGGCGACUGAAUGUUGCAAAAGUUACAGUAGUCGCUAAUCCGUCUGCAUUUUGAGAAUGAUAAAAAUAGUCUUAAAAUAGUCGCCAAAUUCGGCGACGAAAAGGCUACGAAUGUUUUAGUCGCCAUAGAUGGCUACUGCGUAGCUACGAUUUAGCGACUAUCUUUUUCUUAUUGGGCAUAUUAAUUGGGCUCGAUCCCCAAUUCUCUCUCGAUCCAGUGACAUUCGGAGUUUGGCCCUAAUUCCCAUUUCUUUCAUUCUCUCGAUCCCUAAUUUCGUAAACCCUAAUUCUAUCCCCAAUUCUCGAUCACCAAAUCUCUCUCUCGAUCCUCAAUCCUUCAAUCUUUCAAUCUCUCAAUAUCUCUUUCAAUCUCUGUCUCAAUUCCUCUCAUCUCAAUCCGCAAACCCUAAUCCGCAAACCCUAAUCGGAUUCCUCUCAAUCUGCAAACCCUCGAUUCCUCUCUAAUCUCUCUCAAUCGAUGGCUCCUCGUGUUCGCGGUGGAAAAGGCAGGGGACCGAAGUCUCCGUACAAGUGACCCACUUGCCCAAGUCGACCUACAUCUUCCGGUGUGUCGCAUCGAAGACCUAGAAGCCUUUCCUCCCAAUAUGACUUCACGCCAGCGAACCCUCAAACUCCAAUUCCAGAGACUUAGCAAAAUCGGAGUUGCCAGCCUUCACCGGUUCCUACUCAGAGAGACUAUUCUCCUCCUCAGCAGCUUUUCCAGACAGAAGAAGUAUCCAUGCAUGCAUUUGCAUCUCCUCGAGGCUCUGGAUCGACUCCUUUUCGAGCAUCCGGAUCGACUCAAGUCAGAGUGUCUAUCUCCUCUGUUCAUCGGCUAGCCUCCGGAUCUCCUCGCGCUGUUCAGUUUCCAGCACCGGUUCAGUCUCCAGCCUUGAAUCAACAACGACCACCUCUUCAGGUACCAAGAGCUUCUGUGUCUGGUCAUAGUUCUCAAGCACAAAACGUACAUGAUGAAGAAGAUGAAGAAGGUGACGCUGAAGGUGAAUCAGACAAAGAAGGUUUGAGGGAUCCAACUCUCCCGGAAGAUGUGCUCGCUUCAUUAAAUGAUUUUCUUUCCAUGCCAAGCCGUGAGCUCUAUACCACUGUCAUCUCUCCGACAUUGGAGCCUGGAACGACUUGGUAGGUCAUAAUCUGUCUCCUCUGUUUAGGUUUAGGUCAGUUCGAGUUUGGUUUAGGUAUGUAUUGGUUUGUGUUUAGGUUUUAGGUCUGUAUUGGUUUGUGUUUAGGUUUAGGUUCAGUUUGUGUAUAGGUUUAGGUCUGUUUCUGUUAAGGUUUAGGUCGGUUUUUGUUUGUGUUAAGGUUUUAGGUCGGUAUUGGUUUGUGUUUAGGUUUAGGUAUAGUUUGUGUAUAGGUUUAGGUCUGUAUAGUUAAGGUUUAGGUCUGUUUUUGUUUGUGUUAUGGGUAUGUAUUGGUUUGUGUUUAGGGUUUAAGUUUAGGUAUAGUUUGUGUAUAGGUUUAGGUCUGUAUAGUUUGUGUAAUGUAUGGUUUGUAUAGGUUUAGGUAUGGUAUGUUUGUGUCAAGGUUUAGGUAUGGUCUGUUUGUGUGUAGAUUAUACUUAUGUUUAGGUCUAUUGGUGUAUAGAUUAUACUUAUGUUUAUGUAUGUAUUCUAGUGUAUAGGUCUGUUUGUGUAUAGCUAACUGUAUUAUAUUUUCUUGUAGGUUUGGUAAGGAUAAUGGUAAGCUGGCCCUAAAGAUCAUCAAAUGUUUUAUAAACAAGUUUGAUGGACCAUAAUACAGUUGGAGUUGUGUGCCAACUGGAAGAAGAGAAAGAUACUUUCUUGAAUUCGCGGUAAGCUUCUAUCCCUCUUCUACUACUGUAUUUCAUACUACUGUUUUGUUUUUUUGAUAACUAACAUCUGCUUCACUCUCCUCUUGUUUUGUAGAAACAACACACCAGGCAUCCCUCACUGGCAUGUGUGGUUGAAGCCAAGUUCUAUAAGAUCAUUGCACUGCGUAUGAAAGACAUGGUUUGUAAGGUAGGGACAAAAAGACUGAGGCCGUAUUGGAUUGAGAAAACUCUGUGGAAAGAGAUGUGUCAGUAUUGGGAUACUAAAAGAAGCAAUAGCCAAGAGUUCAACCACAUCAACAACUAGGAUGUCUGACCGUACUGGUCUUGGUCCUCACAAGCAUGUUUCUGGUCCAAAGUCUUUCCUACAAGUAGAGCAAAAGAUGGUAAGUUACUUCUCUUUUUCCCAAUUUGUUUUGUUUAGUUACAUUCUGACAUCUUUGUUACAACAUUGUAGGAAGUUAAAUUGGAAAGACCGCCUACAAUUGGAGAAGUGUUCAUCAGGACUCAUACCAAAAAGGAUGGGACAUUUGUGGAUAGGAAGGCGCAGGAAAUCCAUGAGGUAUAUCUCAAGAACAAGGCAGCUAAGUUGGCUGCCCUUCAUGUGAAUGAUGAACAGUCUGAUGGUACUUCGCGUCGGUCUGAGCUAUCUCAUGAGGAGGAUGAUGAGAUCUUUCUUCAGGUAAUACUCUUGUCUUUUGGUCUGCAGUCUACUUUUAUCAUAUUCAGUUUGUGAUCACCGGUUAAGGACUAAUUUUUUACUUUGUUUUGCAGUCUACUAUCACAAAUGAUAGAGGGGAAUACUUUGGAGUUGGAAGCUUAGGGGUUUACAUCAAUGGGAAGCGUAAGUACGCAGGAAGCAGCUCUUCUUUCACAACCCUGCAAUCACAGCUUGAGGAUGCUAACUACAAGAUGGAGGAAUAAGCAGCUUUACAACCAGAACGUGAAGCAGAGGCAUUGCGGGUUCCAGCAUCACAAGCAGUUGAGAUCAAGCACUUGACGAUGGUGAAGAAGUACUUGAGUGAAAUUGACCCUAAUUUUCUAGCAUUUCUCAAGUCCCAAUCAACUCCUGCUGUGGAUGAUCAUUCAGAGGUCCAAGCUACUACUCCUGCUGCAAAUCCUGAUGGUACUACUCUUGCUACUUAGCUUUCUCUCCUCUCAACUCAAAAACUUGAACUUGAUCUUUGGUUUGUACUUAUGGUAGAAGUAUGUUUUCUUUGUAUUGAACUGAAAUGUUUAUUAUGUUUUGUAUGUAUUGAACAAGUAUUGUGUGUUUGUAUGUUUAUUAAGCACUUCUUCUUUUAAUUCAAAAGUUCUUUUUGUAUGUUUGGUUUUGAUUAGUAAAUGCUAAUUCGUAAUUGGAAUCAAAAUAAGCAGGUCAAAUCGAUAAAUAAACCUCUAAUAAAUCACAAAGAGAUAGCAAUUCAGUUACCAAAACAUUCAUAAAACAGUCGCCUUGUAGUGGCCUUUUUGUUACUUCCUCAGUCACCUAUUAGUUGCCACAACAUUCGUCAAUUAGUGACAUGUUUGUAGCCAAACAGUCGCUCAUUUAGCGACUAAAAAGUGACCGAAUGGCGACUCCAAAGAGUUGGCGCGAUUGGUCGCUAAAUAGCGACUAUUAGGCUACCAUUAAUUUUAGCGACGAAUUGUUCAGCGACAACGUGUAUUAGUCGCUAAUUAGUCGUAAUGAUGGGUUUAGCGACUCUUUAGUUACGGUUUUUGUAGUCGCUAAAUCCAUGUUUUCUUGUAGCGAUGGAGACAAUUGUGAGUGAAAAAAACAAAUUCCCGAGUUACAUGGUACAAUCUAAUGUCACUGGGGAUUUGCAUUGUGGUCUCUCUGGUUUACAGAUUUUGUACUUGAAGCAAUAAUUAAGAUCAGAAGAAGCUUAUUUAGAUCAGAGCGAUGAAGAUGGAGACAAUUGAGAAGCCACAAGACAAAAUUGCAAGGACGAAUGGUCAGUUUGCAUUUUCACAACUCAAGAACUUACUUUGUUGAUAAACUUUGCAUAACAACUGUUCUUGUUUCAGUAUUACUUAAUUCUUUAGAUAUUGUUUUACUGAAUGUAUAACGAUUGCACGAUCAAAGCAAGAACAUAGCAAAAGUUAAAAUGGCUCAUGAGGCUUCUAGUUUAUGUUCUCUAUAUGAAUGAAGACAUGCUAUUUUAUUCUAUAUGAAUAGGUGAACUAUUCCAUUUGGCGUCUCUUCUUUUUUUUUGCCAAACACCAUUUUAUAAAGUUAUCGGACGAAGACUUUCCUCUAGAGAGAGCCAAUCCGGAGCCGAUGUGCUUACAUGGGAGAAUAAAGAACCUCAUGCUCUUGCCUUUUUUGCGAGACAAUCGGCACGUAUAUUGUUACAUCUCGGAAUAAAUCUAAUAAAAAACGAAGGGAAGGACAGCUUCAAAAGCUUAAAAUGUUGUAACUGCAAACGUAGGCCAAUCAGAUGGAUUAUCUAAAAUGGAAAUCAGUUCGGAGCAAUCUGUGGCGAAGCCAAAAUUCGUCAUCGAGUCUGAGAUGAGGCACUCCAUUGCCCAUAGAAGGGUGUCGAAUUCUGCUUGCAGGGGUGAUAAUCCCCGACGGGAACUUUUCAGUUCUAAGAGAAUAAGGGUAUCUCCAUCCAUAACAAUCCACCAAUGUCCACCGAGGGGGUCAGUUACUUUCCAAGUGCCAUCGAUUUGACAUUCUGAUUGAGGAGUGCCCGAGAUUAUAGGGUCAGGAGGUGGCCUUACGCCUUCAACAAGGAGAUCGUCUUUAUUAUUUGCAAUCUUCCAUGCAUUCACCUCUUGAACGGCAUCCUCUAGAGUGUUCUGGGGAGACUCCCGGAUAUUUUCUAAUAUAAAGCUGUUUCGAGCCUUCCAUAGAUACCACAAUAUCCAUGGGAAUAAAUGCCCAAUUUCUUCUCCAAUAAUCAUCCAUUUCGCUCUCCAAAAAAGAAAGUCCAUAUUAGAGAAUAUGGACUGACUUGGGAAGGAGGAAGGCAAUGUUGGGAUUGGUGAAAGGGCCCAGGUUUGAAGCGCUGGUGGGCAUUCAAAGAGGAGGUGAUUAAUUGUCUCCUCUUCAGCACCACAUCUUGGACAAUGCUUCUCCUUACCAAUGUGUCGGUAGAAUAAAGUAUGGUUUGUCGCUAGACAUCCUGAUAAACAUUGCCACACAAAAUGCUUAAGCUUUCGUGUAGUUUUUAACUUCCAUACUUGUGCCAGAAGGGGGGUGAUCCCUGGUCCCUGAAAAGGGUGGUCACAAGUAGGACGGGAAAGAUCCCGCGCAGCCCAAUACCCUGACUUAACAGAAUAGUUACCAGAUUUUGUGCCAUUCCAGCUAUAUCCAUCACUUAAAUACGAGCGACUUGGUCGGAUACCUAGAAUCUGAGGGAUAUCCGAAGAGUCAAUCAAAGCAUGAAGUCGCUCAAGUUUCCACUGUUUGGAAAUAGGAUCAAUCAAAUGAUCCACAUAAAGAUGUGGAUCUCUCUCGGUUGUCUUGCCUUUGGCAGGACGAGCCAGAAUGUCGGGAAUCCAGGGAUCUAACCAAACUCUGGUAUUCAUCCCUGAACCUAUAGUCCUCCUUAAUCCCGAGGUAAGGAGCCGUUUUGACGCCAUAAUACUCCGCCACCCAUAAGAGGGUCUAUUGGAUUUUUUUAUCUCAAGUGGAUCACUGUAACGGUAGUACCUUCCCCGGAGAACACGGCUGAGGAGAUAAUUUGGAAAUUUGAUUAGGCACCACAAUUGUUUGGCUAGUAGAGCAAGGUUAAAUUCUUCCAACGUUCUAAAGCCUAGACCUCCUUCUGAUAGUUGGGUGUAUAGUUUGUCCCAGGCAAUCCAAUGGAUUCCUUUACUAUCUGCUUUUGUCUUCGACCAAAAAUCCGCAAUAGCACUGCUUAGCUUUGAACGGAUAGCUUUAGGUAAGAGGAAGCACGACAUGACAUAUGUCGGAAGAGCUUGCGCUACUGAUUUUAUUAGAUUCUGUUUCCCACCCUUGGAAAGGAAUUUGGCUAACCACGUAUUGAGCCGACUAUGAAGACGAUCUCGGACAAAGGCAAAAACUUGGGUUUUGGAGCCGUGGAUCUUUUCAGGAAGUCCCAAAUAAGUACCCAUUCCCCCUUCGUUAGUUAUCCCAAGGGUUCUUUUUAUGGUACUGCGAGUCUGAUCAUCAACGUCUUUGCCAAACAUCACCGAGGAUUUCCGAAAAUUUAGCUGUUGGCCUGAAGCCGCGCCAUAUAAGCGAAUUAUGUCUAUUAUAGCCUUCCCCUGGUCUUUAUUCACUCUACAGAAAAACAAGCUAUCAUUUGCAAAGAGGUAAUGAGAGGUUGAAGGGCUUGCUUUCGAUACCUGAAGGCCUUGAAUUUGGCCAUUCCAUUCCACCGAUUUUAGUUGGGCAAUUAAAGCCUCCGUGCAUAAGAUGAAAAGAAAAGGAGGGGUCUCCUUGUCCUCUCAAGUUUCACAAUUCUUGAUUUUGCUGCAACUUUUUUUGUACCAUAUAUUGGCCUCUUGAAAUUUAGUUAUCUUUAAUUUGUAUGAGAUUAAGAAGAACAAGUAUUGGAUGAGGUUUAUUGGGUGACAAGGGACCUAUAUAGUGUGGAUGUCGGAAUCCGCAAUACAAAUUUUAAGAUGUGUAUCGGGUCGUCUAGCCUUGCUAAUUCGAAUAGCAAUCGUCAAAAAGAAAACAAAAGAGUGAAGUAUGUGUAUCCGUUUAUUGCUCAAGAAAUUCGGUCCCCCUUACAAUGAUCUACAACCCCUAUUUAUAAUUACAUCGUCGAAAUCCGUUCCCACCAAUCUAGCCGCGAAUCACGCCCUUAUUAUUAUUUACGUUUUGAAUCUUCUCCAAUCUGUGAAUUCCGUAUGACCCGCACUUUAUUUACUUCGCAGAUUCCGACGUUACAUUCGAGCUGGAUUUGAAAUUAAGUGGGCUUUUCAUCUCAUCAUAUGGGCUAGCUUGACGGCCCACUUCGUUUCCUGAAUCCUAAACUUUCCGGGCCGGAUCCGAAUUACGGGAUCCGACACCAACAGUUUGCCCCCCAAGUAUUCCGAAGUGUAUGCUUCGGGAUACUUAUGAUAUUGAAAAUCUUGUAACAAAGGAAAUUCGACAUAAAUACCGUCAAUCUCGGGAUUUUCCUGUGUCUGAGGUGACGCUUCAAGAUCCUAGGGUUUUCACUUUUCCCGCCAACCGAGAGAUUCUUCUCGGGAACGAGGCGACGCUUCGAGAUCCUAGGGUUUUCACUUUUCCCGCCAAAACGUUCUAUAUAUUAGACUGGACCCUUCGGGUUCUGUACCUUGCCUUCAAUACCCACGAUCCACUUCUGUCCUUCGUUUAUUUAAAGGUAUCCCUCUUCUCCUUACUCCUAAAUUCUCCGAUUGAUUUUGUUUUUCGCUUUAAACUCUUGAAUCCGAUUAGAUUUUUAGAAGUAGAUUAUUCUUAGCAUCUGCUUUCCGCUAGGUUUAGGCCAUAGAUCUGAAGAUCUUUUAGAUUUUCAACCGUUAGGUGUGAAGAAACUUCCGUCAAUUGCCGUUCCUCCGCCGUACUCCUUCGAAUUCCGGUGGUUCUCCCCCGUCAUCCGAAGAAUACUUUCCGUCGGGAUCUUCAUCUCCCUGGUUUUCGGCGAAGAUCUUCACCAGUGUUCUUGAGGGUUUCUCGAUUCAUUUCUUGCCAGAUCUUUUUUCAUCUUUAGAACUUUCAAUUUCAUGUUAUGGCUCCGAAGAAGAGUAAGAAGGUCCGAAAUGAAUCUUUCAUCCUCGAAGAUGAGUUCGGGAAAUACUUUUCCUUAGAACUCGAUGACAGGAAACUAGCUCUGAUGAAAGGCGGCUGCGGUAUCCCUCGACAAGUUAAACUGAUAGCUCCGGAGCCCAGAGAGUCUCCUGAAUCUCCUCCUACCGAUCACUGUUGCGCCUUCGAAAUAUUCUUUUCGGAGUGCGGCCUUUCCUUUCCUUUACCGGAGCUUCUGAUAGAACUUAUGCAUGAACUGGGGAUCGCUUUGCCUCAGCUUUGCCCGAACGUAGUUCGGAUAGUACUAUGCCUCCAGACUCUUGCAGAGGAGAAUGGAUACCGGAUUACGCUAUCCGACAUUUUUCAUCUCUACACAAUGAAGAAGGGGCGAACCCCGGGAACCUUCUUCCUUUGCCCGAGGAGUCAUUUCAGGGUCUUCGGAGACUUUCCUGAAAAAGAUGAGAAGUGGAGGAAAUCGUAUUUCUUCUUUCCUGUUGACGAGUUCACCUAUGGUCCAAAUGCAGGAUUUUUUGUUCGGGACUGGACACGUCGUCCUGGUUAGAUGGUUUUUAGGGAUUUAUUGCAUAUUUUCAUUUCUUGACUUCGCUCCUCGGUGAAAUAAUCCUUUUUGUUUUGCAGUUAAACUUCCGAAGACACCGGUCUCCCAUACCUUUGCAGAACAGUUCAUCAGGAUUUGCAAUCAAAGUGACCUCGCGUGGGAACUCUUUACUUGUGAACAAAUUCGGAACUCGUGCUUUCGUGUCCGCAGUCGCUCCGACCUUAUUACCUCUUCUCCACCUCACACUUCUCCCAUCAUCGAUAGAAACAUGUCUCCAGUCUCCUACCGCGAAGAGAAGAGGCUCCAAAAAGAGAGGGAAAAGGUUAGGGAGGCAAGAGAAAAGGAAGAUAAGGCUAGAAUGGCGAAGGCCCUGGAAGAGGGAAAGUCAAGAUCCGCAACUGGGAAAGGAAGGGCUUUCGGCUCUGUUAUGCCGGCAUCUGAAUCGAAGACUUCUGAUCGUCGAGAUCAAGUGAAGGAGUCUGCUGGUAAAGAGAUAGUCCAAGUUUUGGAAUCCCGUUCCUCCCGAUCAUCUCGGGAAAAAGAGUAUUCUGACGGAGGACCAACUGCAACUUCCUCGAGGAAACGCAAGAGCGAGGACUCAGAUGUUCUUCCUCUACAUCGCAAAAGUCGUUCUCACACGAAUGUCGAUGUGAAUCCUUCCGAAGAUGCCGGGACUACUAGCCAAGGAGCUAAUGACACUUCUCAGGGGACUCCGCUGUCCGAACCUCCCGUUCAAGUCAUGGUCUUGCCUUCGCGAGACUCAGAGAAUCGGGAAUCUGGUCAUCAAGAAAUCCCUAUUCCAAUAGGUAAUCCUAUAUUGUUUUUCGAUUCUUUUUGCAAAGUACGAAUCAUUCAUAUUGAUUUCCUAUAAAACUUUCAAUUAGCCCCUCCGAAGUCUCCAGCUGAUUUCAUGAGGAACUUCACUCCGGCUGGGAUGAGGAUCCCGGCCUUCAGCGAGCUAAAAGAAGUCAACAGGGCGAAUUACUUUCGCUUCGCCGACAAACUUGGAGAGGUACCUCCUUUAAUUCUUACUUGAGCUCGUUUCGCUUGAACUAACGAUUUCUUUUCAUUCUAAUAGAUUAUGCUCGAAUACAACACCACCUUUUCUUGUCACGAGAGCCAGCUCUUCCCCGUGAACGAGCUUGACAGCCUUAGGACUCGAGUUGCUGAACUCGAAGAGGAGAUCCGUCAAAUGAAAGAGAUGGAGGAAGGGAAUGCUAAAGCUGUGGCGAAGGCCAACGAUAUCCGGGAACAGAUGUUGAGUGCCGAAGCUCGCUGUAACCAUCUUGAUGUAGUUAACACGGAUCUGUCGGUGAAACUAAAGACCGGAAAGAACAUGUACCUUGAGGCAUGUGACAAGAUAACUUCGUUGGAGGCCGAAAUCAAGCGAAGUUAGGAAUGGUGCAAGGUUUCUGCGGAAAAACGGGACGAGGAGCUCGCAGCAGCAAGGAAGGAUGAGCGAAAGAAACUCCGAGAACACUACAGUGGCUUGAUCUCAAAGCAUGAGAUCUACCUGAAAGCCCUGAGUGAGAAUGAGUCAAUAAGCAACCGAGCUGCGGAGACUAGAGCAAAUCGGGAGCUUCUUGAGGAGCUUAAGAGAGGCGAAAUCCCGGAUAUUGAUGCCGAGCUGGAGUCUGUGAAGAAGGAUGAAGCGGAUGCGGAGGCCAAAGUUAACAAGAUAAACGCUCUCAAGCCUCGUCCUGAUGAGUUUGCUCAUCUCUUUGUUGCCACUCCUCCCAAGUCGGCACCUGAAGGUCCAUAUACCGAGGAGGAACUUGUAAUCAAUGAGUUCGGUUCCAAAAAAAGUCUCAUGUCCGAGCUCAAAACAGUCCAGGGGUCGGAGGAAAAGCGACAGCAGGAUCCCGAAGCCUAAAGAUCCUUGAUUUGAUUUCCGGGGUUGUUAUGGCUUAAAUGGCCCCCCCUUUGUUUUUAAUCAGAACCUUUUGCUUUUGCUUUCCGUAUCUUUUGGAUUUUAAAAACUUAAGCUAUUUCCUUCCCAAAAAUCUUUUUGCUAACGCAAGUCGGACAAGAAGUUCAUAAAGGAAAACGAAAUACAUUUGAAGUAUUUCCGGUUUUCAAGAAACAUGACACGAGACUUGGACAUCGAAGUUCGAAUUGAACUGUGUUGAACCAGCUAUUCUUUUAAGUAAAUAUACUUAGAAAUUGUUUUAGAAGAAAAAUCUCCAUUUGUUUCUAGAGAUAAAGAUUCGUCUAUUCGAGCACUGAGCUCGGAUGAAAAGAAUCUUAAAUAGUACGAAAAUAACCUUUUCGGUUUGCGAAGAGCGAAUUACGAGAUUACUCUCGGUUUUACGAGUUGCGAGAUAGAUCUCGGCUUUGAAUAUUUAGACUGUUUCAACAAUGUAAAUAUUUUAUUGAUUUAGAGACUGCACUCGAGGUCCGAGCUGCCUACGUACCCAAAGGUGGGGAUCAAGUCUGUCGUAGUUCGAUUUACAAUAGUGAAAAUAAUGUGAUUAAAUAAAGUAUCUCUUCAAAUGAAUGGAAUUCCAAGCUCUCCGAAUUGCUUUUCCUUUCAUGUUCUCGAGACGAUAAACUCCGUUGCGAACUACCUGAGUAAUUCGAUAAGGACCUUCCCAGUUAAUACCUAGCUUUCCAGCUCCAUCCUCGGUAGUAUUUUGCUGAACUUUGCGCAGUACCAAGGUUCCAACGUCGAAGUGUCGACUUCGGACAGUCGAAUUAUAGUAUCGAGCUGCAGCAUUCUUGUAAUUUUGCAUUCGAAUCAAAGCUCGAUCACGCCGCUCCUCAAUGGUAUCAAUAACGUCAACCAUCAGUUCGCUAUUUGCUGCCUCGUUCUGUGGGUUAUUCAUCAUUCUCGGACUUGGCACAAAUAUUUCAGCAGGGAUUACAGCCUCCAUUCCAUAAACUAAUGAAAAUGGUAUUUCACCUGUUGCACGCCUAGGAGUAGUGCGAAUUGCCCAGAGAACACUCUGUAGUUCAUUAAACCAAGCUCCUUUGUGCGACUUGAGUUUUUUCUUCAAAGUAGACAAAACAGUUUUGUUCAUUGCUUCAGCUUGACCAUUACCCUGCGGGUAACGAGGCGUUGAUCGACUGAGUCUGAUUUGCCAUUCUUCGCAAAAAGAUUCGAAUUGCCGCGAAAUGAAUUGAGGUCCGUUAUCAGUAACGAUCUCGUAUGGCAAACCGUGCCUACAAAUGAUGUCCUGCCAAAUGAACUUGCGAACUUGAACCUGAGUUAUGUUUACGUAGGCUGCCGCUUCUACCCACUUCGAGAAAUAAUCGGUAAGAACUAGGACAAAUUUCACCCCGCGCGUAGAAACAUGAAGAGGCCCAAUAAUAUCCAUAGACCAUUUCAUAAAUGGAUAAGGAGAAGAGACUGAUGAUAAUGGCUCGGUGGGUUGGUGAAUUGAAGGUGCAUGCUUCUGGCACUGCUCGCACUUCCGCGCAUACUCCUCACAAUCUGCGAUUAAUGUGGGCCAGAAAUAUCCGUACUUUCUUACUUUAUAGGCCAAAGAGCGACCUCCGGAGUGAUUUCCGCAUACUCCGUCAUGAAUCUCUUUUAUCACAGUACGGACCUGCUGUCCAAAAAUACAGAUCAUGUCAGGACCCGAGAUGCUUCUUCUGUAGAGGAUGUCGCUCGAAAUGCAGAAACGAGCACUUUUAGCUUUUAGUCUCCGUGCCUCCCACUUAUCCGUAGGGAGAAUACCAUUAAGGAUGUAUUCUCUUAUGGGUAUCCUCCAGUCUGCCCCCCAAUCCGGAAGCGGUAGCACUGGUUGCAGUGGUUCCGGAUUUGGCGGUGUUCCGAUUAGUGAUUCUACUUCGGAGUUCCGCUCAGUUUCCUCGACCCUUUGUGGUUCCUGUUCCACAUUCAUCCUUCUUUGCAUAGACCGUGUAGUCACGAAAUUCAGCUCUCCGGUGGCUAUGCUGGGAUGUUCAAUUACUUCAACAGGGAUCAUUCGGCUCACUGUUACUUCGGAACUCGACGCCAAUGCCGCUAAAGCAUCCGCCGCUGAGUUCUCACUUCGCGGAAUUCUAGUGAGUUCGAAACUAAGAAACUUUUUACUCAAUUCCUGAACCUGAGCGAGGUAAGCUUCCAUUCUGCCAUCUUUUGCUUCAUAAUCACCGGAAAAUUGAUUAGCAACGAGCUGUGAGUCGCAAAAUGCCCGUAAUUUUGUGACACCUAUCCCAACCGCUAGACGAAGUCCUGCAAGGAGAGACUCGUACUCCGCCUCGUUAUUCGACGCAUUAAAUGCGAGACGAAAUGACUGUUCAAUUACCUCACCAUAUGGGGAUUGUAAUCGGAUACCGAUCCCGGAACCCUGUUUUGAGGACGCGCCGUCCACAUGAAGUAUCCAAGGUCCUUCAUUUUCUUUGACUUCCACAGAGACCAGAGGUAGUUCGAUCAGAAAAUCUGCGAGGACUUGAGAUUUCAAGCUUGUCCUUGUUCGGAACUGAAUAUCAUACUCGCUUAGCUCAAUUGCCCAUUUAACCAAUCUUCAUGACUGACUCGGACUAUGCAAAAUUGCCCUUAAAGGUUGCGUGGUUAGGAUAAUAACCGUAUGAGAUUGAAAAUACGGUCUUAAUUUCCGAGCCGAAGUAAUUACUGCCAGAGCUAGCUUUUCCAUCAUCGGAUAUCUUGACUCUGCGCUGUCAGAAACCGAUACGUACAAGAAAAGCUCUUCUCCGAACUCGGGUUUCGCUAACACAGGAGGUUUGGACAAAUAAUCUUUUAGAUUUUUGAAAGCCUUUUCGCAAUUCUCAUCCCAGAUGAAAUUCUUGUUUGCUUUUCGGAGCAGAUUAUAGAAUGGAAGGCACCUAUCGGUUGACCUCGAGAUGAAUCGGUUCAAAGCUGCUAUCCGCCCCGUGAGUCGCUGAACUUCCCGGAUGUUGCGAGGCGAAGUCAUCGCCAGAAAAGCGUUCAACUGUCGCGGAUUAGCUUCGAUUCCUCGCUCCGUGACAAUGUAACCCAAAAACUCUCCCGAAGGAACUGCAAAAGUGCACUUGGUCGGGUUCAGUUUCAUUCCGAACUUAUUCAAAAUUGCGAAGCACUGCUCUAGAUGCUCAAUAUGCGAAGUGCUUGAUAUUGACUUUACCAACAUAUCGUCAAUAUACACUUCCAUCAUUUUACCGAGGAGAUCUUUGAACAUCAUAUUCACCAACCGUUGAUAAGUGGCUCCGGCAUUUUUCAACCCGAACGGCAUGACUAUAUAACAGUAAGUUCCACGGUCCGUGAUGAAAGCUGUCUUUUCCUGGUCUUCCGGAUUCAUCAAAAUCUGAUUAUACCCGGAAAAAGCAUCCAUAAAGGACAUCAUUUCGUGGCCCGUAGUUGACUCCACAAGUCGGUCGAAGUGGGAAACUAUCUUUGGGACAGGCUUUAUUAAGAUCGAUAAAAUCUACGCAAACCCGCCAUUUCCCAUUUUUCUUCUUGACUACAACAGGGUUUGCCAACCAGUCUGGAUAUUUGACCUCGCGAAUCACACCGGCAUCGAGCAGGCGCUGAACUUCGGCAUUUACAGCCUCGGCUCGGUCUGGACCAAGUUUCCUGCGUUUUUGUUUUACUGGUUUGAAAGUCGGGUCAAUGUUGAGCUCGUGCGAAAUGACCUUUGUAUCGAUCCCAGUCAUCUCCUCGAUUUUCCAGGCGAAAGUUUUUUGAUUCCUUUUUAGGAAAGUUAUCAGUUCGACUCGGAGUGUUUCGCUUAAACCCGCUCCUAUUCUCACAGUUUGAUCCGGAUACUCCUCAUUAACUACCACUGCCUCCACGAGGUCACUGCUUAUUUUUUUGACGGGAUUUGCAGGCACCUCGAACUGUGGUUGCUAUUGAAUUUUAAGCUUAUGACUGGACAUGUAACACAUCCUCGCAGCUCGCCGACUUCCCAGGAUUUACUUUACUCCGGAUUUCGUAGGGAAUUUCAAGCAUUGAUGAUACGUUGAAGGUACUGCUUUCAUCUCAUAAAUCCAGGGUGUUCCCAAGAUAACAUUAUAAGCAGCCGGAUGAUCGAACACCGUGAACUCGAUCAUUUUGACUAUGCCUUCUGCGCAUACCGGGAGCACAAUCGUUCCUAAUGACAUUGAAGUUUCGCUAGUAAAGGAAACCAAAGGAGAUGGUGGCCCCCUUAUAUCUUGCUUCGAUAUCCCCAUUCUAGUCAGAGUAUCGAGGAAAAUUAAAUCCACCGAACUCCCAGUAUCAAUGAGAACCCGAGACACUUCGCAAUGCGCAAUAUCGAGUGUUAUGACCAGAGCAUCGUCGUGUGAUUUGUCAAGUUGACUUGUUUCUCUUUCGGAGAAUGUUACUUCGGGUAAUUGUUCCUCAGUAAGUCUGGCCUUCUUGAUUAUCGGGGUGGUUGCCCUCCGUUCGUGUUGCUUGAUUGCACUAAUGGAGUCUCGAAAUAGCUUGGAUCCCCCCAUAAUCACCUGGAUUUGCUUCUUCGGUCCUUUAAGAACAUCAGGGGACUGGAUCCUUUUGGUUUUUUUGAUAGGAGGAGACGGUUCCUCUGUUGCUAAUGUUUGCUCUGACAGAUGAGUCGGCUCGAGCUCCGAAAUAUCGAUUUCGGUUAUUUCCCCGGAUGCGAACUUGGCAGCCAGUAACCUUCCUAGAGCCUUGCAAUCUUUCGUAGCAUGCCCAUUGACUUUGUGGAUCUCGCAGUAGGCGUUUGGGUCACGAAUCCACUUGUUACUCGGGAAAGCGCCGUUUUUGCUCUUUGGCGAGAAAGACUGCUUCGCAGGUGAAUUCUUCGGAGAACCUUUUGGCUCCUCCCGAUCCACUGAGAAUGUGCCAGCUCCAGGUUUCCGAGCUUCAGGUUGAACAGGUUUCUUCUGAGGUAGAAGUUGAGCAGGUUUCGGAGCUGCUUUGAACUUUUUUGCUAGAGCGGCCCGCUCUUCUUCCGCGUUUAUCCAGUUCGUUGCCCGAUGGAGGGCAUCUUGAAUAGUGGCUGGUCGGUUAACAACCAACUCUUCUCAGAAACGGGAUUCGUGCCAUAGACCGUUCUUGAGUGCAGCAAUUGCUGCAGAAUCAGACAAAUUUGGGAUCUGGACCAUAAUCUCUUUAAAGGAGGUGAUGUAAGUCCGGAGCGGCUCUCCGGCUCCCUGUGAGAGGUUCCACAGCUGGGCAUCAGUUACAUCGCUCUUGAUGAAGUAUCCGUACUGCAUGAUGAAAGCAGUGGAUAGUUGCUUGAAGCUAUCGAUCGAUCCUUCUUCUAGUUGAGUAAACCAGGUCAAAGCCGGCCCGGAUAGGUUCUCGGCGAAGAGUUUGCAUAAGCCCGCGUCUACUUCGUUUGGCUCCAAAUGUACCCGACCUGCGGUUACCUGAAAAGACGCUAAAAAUUCUUUGGAAUCUCUCUUACCAUCGUACCCCGGAAGUUUGGCCUUCCUUUGGUCUCGAAUUCGCAGGGCUACAAUUCGUGGAGUAAAAGGAGUCCUUCUCGUCUCCUCGAUCACUCUAUCGACUUCGGGAGCCGAACUGGUGGCUUGAUGAACCCUCGAACUCAUUUCCCGAAUCUGAUUUUGUAAGCUCUGGAUUUCCGGGUUGACCGGAAGGUGAGGUGGAUGGGACUCGGUUUGAGGAUGAUGCGGGGUGCUGCCAUGUUGAAUGGGGAGAGGUGUUCUGGCUGGAACAAAAGGACCGCCGGCUGAAUUUUGAGGUGCUUGAGCAUGACGGGAUCCAUCUCCAGGUUCACUCUGAGAGCCAAGAGGCAAAGAAGAUGGGAGUACGUUGUUCGGGGAAACGAGCCUAGGAUCCUGAACCUCCGAAACGUUCGGACCAUGAAAGUCCAAAUGGCCGCGAGGUCCGCUGGUCCGCAAAGUUCCUGCAAGAAUUGUAUCAACCCGAUCCGCAUAAGCAUUAUGGGCUGACCUGAUUUCGGAACAACUCGCUGUGAGGACUGCGAUUUGGCUGCCGCUUUGCUCUUCAAACGCUGAAAGCUUCUCAGAUAACGCAGUGGUGGCGAGCUGCUGCUGGUCGGUCUUCUCGGACAGAUCUUUAAGCAACUUCUUGAUCUCGUCGAGGACUGAAGCCGGAUCCGCUAUGUCUGACAUCUUUUCGAUUGAUAUUCUGGAGUAAAAGACUAGAAAACCCCUCCUUCUAGCUCCAAAUUGUGGAUGUCGGAAUCCGCAAUAUAAAUUUUAAGAUGUGUAUCGGGUCGUCUAGCCUUGCUAAUUCGAAUAGCAAUCGUCAAAAAGAAAACAAAAGAGUGAAGUAUGUGUAUCCGUUUAUUGCUCAAGAAAUUCGGUCCCCCUUACAAUGAUCUACAACCCCUAUUUAUAAUUACAUCGUCGAAUUCCGUUCCCACCAAUCUAGCCGCGAAUCACGCCCUUAUUAUUAUUUCCGUUUCGAAUCUUCUCCAAUCUGUGAAUUCCGUAUGACCCGCACUUUAUUUACUUCGCAGAUUCCGACGUUACAUUCGAGCUGGAUUUGAAAUUAAGUGGGCUUUUCAUCUCAUCAUAUGGGCUAGCUUGACGGCCCACUUCGUUUCCUGAAUCCUAAACUUUCCGGGCCGGAUCCGAAUUACGGGAUCCGACACCAACAUAUAGGAACUUGAAUAAUUUAGGUGUUUAUGCAUUUCAACGUGUAUCGAAUUUUGUGGGUAAGUGUAAUGGAUUUGCUCAUUCUAUUAGACGUUGGAUUGUGUUUUAUUAGGAAGCGAAUAUGGGUGGUCACGGACAAAUGAAUUCGAAAUUUGACGAUGGAAUUGCAAAUGUGGAUGCCAUUGAUUUUUCUAAUGCAAGACAUAAGAAUCUAAGGAGGUCUUUUCUCUUUUUUCUUGACAAGAAGUUUCAACAGCCAUUUCCACUUCCAAUUCUUAUCGAUAAUAUUCAAUUUCAACUGAAAACGAAGAACUCAUGGCUAAUCAUAUGCUGACAGUUUAAGAGUAUGUUAUCUUUCAUGUUAGGUGAUGUGUGAAUGUUUUGGCGGACCUGAUGGAAUUUGUUAGGAACAAUGAAGCGGAACUGAUAGAAUCAACCUGGAUGCUGAGGAGAUCUGCGAGACAAUUCAGUAAGCUCUUUUUGCUCUUUGUCACUUUCAGAGUGAUCUCUCCCACAGAAGCUGCCGUGUUCUUCACGUUCUCCUUUACAAGGUCCUCCUCGUCUCCUCUGCCUCUAGCUGGCAAUGCCACGGCGUCUUCAUAUCAUGUGGAUCCACCACGACCCUUUGGGUUUGACAGUAUAAAGAGUAAUGGCACACACUCCCCUCCUGGAAGCUGGACUGUCACAGCAGCACAAUCGAUUCCAUCUUCUUCCUUGAAAUUGACGCUUCCGUCUAAAUCAACCUGCUAAAAAAAAAUUAAAGAGACGAUCAAUCACAAACCCUAACCCUAAGCAGACUGUUUCUUUCGGUAGAAUCAAAGAUGCGAAAUCAAACCUCAAAGGGUCCUUCGAUCUCGACAAGGGUGUAGGUGAGACGGGUCAUGAGCUUGGUGUUCUGGAACUCAGGAGUAGCGUUCUUGCUUACACUGUCUGCCUUGACGGUGAAGGAAGCAGAACUUCUUGCCUGUGUACUUUCCUGGCUUGAACGAGAACGUCCCAGAGCAACCGUCAAUACCUGGGCACGUGUUAGCCGUUCCAGUUCCUUUCACUUCCAUGUAUGUCUUGCUCUGAGCCUCUGAAUCUCAUCGUAGGUAGUCUCUUUCGAGCUCCCUCUGCACUUUCUCCCUUUCAUUAUACGAGAAAGAAACAACUUUAAGUCAACUGAUCCAAUAAGAUUGAAUCAACGAUUACAAGAACUGGAAUAGCGGUUUCGCAUUGUAUAGUGCUAAUCCGUAUCUUUUAUUGGUUUGGUUGUUCUGUUCUGUUUUCAGUUUAAUAUAAAACUCAAAAAAAAAACUCAUGUGACGACUCGAUACAUAUUAAAAAAAACUCUUGUUCUCUGUUUAUGGAUUAAUCUACAGUUCGUAAUGAUUAAUCCAGACGGGUCAUGAGCUUGGUGUUCUAGAACUCAGGAGGAGCGCUCUUGCUUGCACGCAUGUUUUAUAUGGAUAUAGGUUUAUAUGAGGGAUCUCAACUCUUUGAAGAUGAAAAUGACCAGAAAUUUCUAUGUUGUUAUUGCAGGUUACAUGGCAGUGUACACCACAAGGAAAAUACAACAAACGGUCAGUUUGCAUUUACAACCCAAGAAUCAGGAACUUACUUGGCGUGUUUUGAGGCCGAUGCCAAAAAUCAUGGUAACAAAGAUUUUAGCCAAAGAUUGGGACUCCAUUGCUAGAAAAGAGAAGAUCGAGGUCAGCUCUCCAUUUCCAUAAUGCUCGCUAAAGUACUAGAAACAACACUUUUCUCUACUUUCUUUCUCUUGAUGCUCUCUUUGGAACAGUUAGUGUAAGACUGAAUUUGGUUCCUUUAAACAACCUGACAGAGUCAAAAUGAAUGGUUGCUGAUAGCAGAUGUUACUCAAUCAUGUUGGCUACUCUCCUAAGAUCAGCCACAGAGAGCUGGUAGAAAUGGCAAAGCACCGGAAGGAAUUGGAGAAGAUGGCAAAACCCGUUCUUGAUACUCUAAGAAGCUACCAGGACUUGCCUCCGGUAAUCUUCUUACUUUUUUUUCAUUGAAUCGAAAAACCUGAUAACAUCUCUGGUUCUCCAAGUCUUAAUUAAACUGUGAUUGUUCAGCAUUAUCAGUCUCCACUUUAUUAUUGGUUAUUGCUAGUGUCACUUCACAGUGUAUAUAUAUAUCAUUUCCUUUGGUCUCUUUUUUUUAAUUUGACUUAUUUGUUUCUGAUUUAAUUGGUUUUGUCUUUACAGUUUCAUGUUAAUGACCAAGCUGCAAUUGAGAUGGUUAAAGGUCGACGAAGCAAUAUUCAGAAGAAAUUGUAGUUUUUAAUUUUUGUUUUUGUUUUACGCCAAAUUAGUGUGUAAACUUUUUUUAUAUAAGAGUUUUUGUAUAUUAUUUUAUGUAAUAAUGAUAAUAAAUAUUGUAUUUUAUUUUUGAUAUGUUAUUUUAAUCCAAAAAUUCCAGUAAAUGUGAUUUAAAUAUAAUUAAAAUAAUUAACAAAAAUACAAAUAUUAUAAAAAUAAAAAUUACUGAAAUAAUUAAUCAAAUAUAAAUAUUGCAGAAAAAACAAAUUAUAAAAAUAGAUACAAUCUAAUCAUAACAAUUAUUAUACGUUAUUAUAAAUAUUAAUAAUAGCAGCGUCAUAAACGCUAUCGUUGUAUACUAAACUAUUGCACAACGCAAAACCGCUAUCAAAAGUGUCCGAGUUUCUAUAACGGACGAUGUCAGAGCGCUUAAGGAAACGCUAUGGUAGAUGAAUAAUUGCGUUUUUCGGCCGCUAUUAAUACCCACAUUUCCUGUAGUGCCUAUUUAUGGACUCAAACAAGCUCCACGGGCUUGGUAUAUGGCGUUGAAGCAACAUCUUCUCUCCACUGGUUUUACGAACUCCAUGGCUGACACCUCUCUCUUCAUUCACAGCUUGGGUGGCUACAUUACAUAUGUCUUGGUCUAUGUCGACGAUAUCCUCGUCACGGGAAAACAAUCCCAGCAUCCUUGAAAGAGUUCUCUCCUCGUUUGUAAAUCGGUUCUCCAUCAAAGAUCCAUCGGAUCUUCAUUAUUUCCUAGGCAUCGAAAUGUCACGCUCUUCCAAAGGUCUUCACUUAAUGCAAAGGAAAUAUAUCACUGACCUCCUUACUCGCCACAACAUGCUUGAUGUAAAACCGGUACAUACACCUAUGGCAACAACUCCGCAGCUCACACUAACCGGUGGGGAUCCACUUCCUGAUGCAAUUCAAUUCCGUUCAAUAGUAGGCAGCCUCCAAUACCUUGCUUUUACCAGGCCGGAUAUCUCCUUCGCGGUGAACAAGUUAUCACAAUUUGUCCAUAAACCAACGACAGAACAUAACCACGCUGCCAAGCGCGUCUUGCGGUAUCUCGCCGGCACACUCACACAUGGCAUCUACCUUCAUGCGUCCUCACCAAUUACAUUACACGCUUAUUGGAUGCUGAUUGGGCUGGCGACAACAAUGAUUAUCUCUCUACUAACGGAUAUUUAAUCUACCUAGGACGCAAUCCAAUAUCUUGGUCCUCAAGGAAACAAAGAGGUGUUGCCCGCUCAUCCACUGAAGCGGAGUAUCGGGCUGUAGCGAACACGGCCUCCGAGGUACGAUGGUUAUGUUCUUUAUUUUCUGAGCUCCGCAUACCCUUACCGACAUCACCUGUCAUCUAUUGUAAUAACAUUGGGGCAACAUAUCUUCGUGCGAAUCCGGUAUUUCACUCACGUAUGAAGCACAUUGCACUAGACUAUCAUUUUUUCCGCAAUCAGAUUCAAGAAGGAAUGCUGCGAGUUUCACAUGUCACCACGGAUGAUCAGUUAGCCGAUACUCUAACCAAACCUCUACCCAGGACACGAUUUCAACAUGCAUGUAUCAAGAUUGGUGUUACUAAAGUACCUCCAUCUUGAGGGGGUGUAUAAGAGUAUAUGCUAACAAUAAGGAAAGGAUCUAAAUGUAAUUACUUAAGACCUAAUUAGUCUCACGAGUCUGUAUAUAUACUGAUGUAAUUCUUCUCAUAUGAAUAAGAUCAUUCUCUACACUUAUAAUCUUGAAGUAUCCCUUUUACUAACUCCUCCCAUACUUGUCUUGUAUACGGGCAUUGAAAGAAGAGGUGGUCUCUUGUCUCAACCGAUUCCUGACAAAACGCACAAGAUGUAUUCACUUGGUUCUUCCACUUCGCCAUUCGUUCACCUGUAGAUCAUUUGUCAUGCAUUGCAAGCCAUGUAAUAAAAGCGUACUUAGGCGUAGCUUCAGAAAACCACACUCCCUUAGCACAGCUGCAGAUUGGAUGCUCAUCUCUCAAGAGAUUCCAAGUCUCGUUGGAUGAGAAUUUGGAUUUGAAACCAUUCUUCCAUCUCCUCUUGUUAACGUACAUCUAACUCUGUUUUCCGACUCAGCCGCAAGGCUUCUAUUUCUGCUUCAACCUUAUUUAGACUCUCCACUCGAUGUCAUCUUCCUCUAUGCUUACUUAAAACGGCUUCCACGGUGGCUGUUUUUCUUUUCUCCAAAGAUAUCUGUCAUACCAAAAUGAUGUGCCACGGCCACUAUUUAUUUCUACCAUAUGACCAAAUUGCAAAGGAGUUAAGGUUGUAUUGAACCCAGUCUGAUUGAAGUAUCAUAUUCCCACACAUACUUUGAUUUUACCCUCAACUUUCCUAAAAACAUAUUAAAAACUCUUAACUUUUUUGUGGGUUUUUAAACCCUCACCUUUUGAGUUUUGAUGAAUGAAAAAUAAACGCUAAUAUUAAUAAACUCAACUUAAAUUCAAACAAAUAUUUUAUAAAAUAAUUUUUAAAUUUAUGAUUUAUAUUUUUUUUGUCAACCACACAUUAAUUAAAAAAUAACUCUUUGACUGGUUGCCCAAGAGGAUAAGAGUUUACAAAAGUAACAUCAGAAAAUAAAAGUCUAGAAGAACAGGCUAAGCAGUCCGCUUGAACAUUACAUAAACGAGAAAUAAGAGAAAGCGAGAAGAAGGGAAAAGAGACUCGUAGUAAUUUAAAAUCAUCUAGCAGAUUGGAGAAAACGGGCCAAUCUUCAGGUGACUGAAUUUAUGAUUUAUGUUAAAUUCUUGUUUGCGAUUUUUUUUUCUUUCUAAAAUUAAGUUUUUGCGAUAGAAAUUUUAUUCAACAUUUAGUUGAAAUUAGGCAAAUCAGUUUCGUUACCAUUAAAAGUUGUGAUAUAUAAACUAUAAAAUUUUAGGAUAACAAAUUCAAUGUUUUUGGUUUAAUGGUUCGUGUUUCUCAAGUCUUGAUUUAAGAAAUGGUCAAAAUUAUAACAAAAUUCAGAUUCAAUUGGAUUUGGUUUAAGUUUGGAUGAAAAUUUAGUUAAAUAAUGAUUAAUUAUAUGUAAUUCAUAUGUAAAUUUAAUAUAUGUUAAUUUUAUAUAUGAAAAUAUUAACUGAAAUAUUUUGAUGUGAAAAUUUAUGUACUUUUUGUAGUAUUAUAAAAUUUGGUUUGGUUUCACACUUGCAAAAUAUGGCUAGUUUGAAGAUUUUUUAUUGCGGACAAGGUAAGGUAUGAAAGUCAGUUGUUGCAAAUAAAAUGACCAAUUAAAUUUCUGAAAGGAAAUAUCAAGAAAUUUCAGACUAAAAUUUAGAUGGAGAGAGAGAGAGAGAGCUAGCAAAUUUAGGAAUGUGAAACAAAGUCAACUGUUAAUGAGGGCUAUUUCCUCUUUAACAAGACCAAUUGGGAAUAACUCUUACUUAGUCUAAGCUAUAUUUUAAAUUUUAUGAGCAAUUGUGCUCUGUUUUGAGCUGUCAUGCUCUGUUUUCUGAUUUUGAAUCUUUCCUUUGAUUUUUAAUGUAGUUUAAACGGCAAAAAAAAAAAAAAAAAAAAAUUAUUACUUCCUCCAGCGAAAGAGGGCUGUUUCAAAGCCUCCAGCGAAACACUAUGGAAAAUCUCCAAACGUUACUUCCUUUGUCAACUCUUGAUUUUGCGUAUCAAUCGGAUAUUUGGAGUUUUUUAAUCUUUGUAAUAAGGUGAAAUAAUUGGUGGGUUGCAUGCAUUUUCAGAUUUUCUUAUUCAAAUAAAUUUCUCAGAGGAAAUAUCAAGGAACUUCGUUUCAGAUAAAUUAUAAAGAUAUUGUGUGUCACGUUCUAAGCCUAUAUACAUUCAAAUUUUAAUUCUUACCCCUACAUAACUCUGUUAUUAGAUCUGAAAAUUCUUCUAUCGAUCAAUAGUAAUGGCUUUUUCUUCUUCUUCUUCUUCUGCUCUUUCGAUUCCUUUAUCUUCUUCGUCUCAAAACUGGGAGUACGAUGUCUUUCCGAGCUUCCACGGGAAAGAUGUACGCAAAACCUUUCUCAGCCACCAACUGAAGGAGUUCGGAAGAAAAGCAAUCAACUUUUUUGUUGAUAACGAGAUCAAGAGAGGAGAAUUCAUCGGUCCUGAACUCAAACGGGCAAUCAAAGGAUCUAAGAUUGCUGUUGUCUUGCUCUCCAAGAAUUACGCUUCUUCUUCGUGGUGUCUUGACGAAUUGGUGGAGAUCAUGAAGAAAGAGUCGGGUCAAACGGUGAUUACCAUUUUCUAUGAAGUAGAUCCAACUGAUGUGAAGAAGCAGAAGGGAGACUUUGGGAAGGUCUUCAAAAAAACUUGCAAAGGUAAAGGCAAGGAGAAGGUUCAGACAUGGAAGAAAGCUUUGGAGGGUGUGGCCACAAUCGCGGGUUACCAUUCAAGCAACUGGUUCGUUUUCUUGAUUUAAAUUCACUUGCUUUUAAUAUUUCUAACACAUCAAACUAUAUUUGUAGCAUUCAUAGUGAUUAUUUAUUAACAAGAUGUAUGUAUAAAGUGAUCUUCCUCUUUGUUAGGGUUGAUGAAUCAACCAUGAUUGAAAACAUCGCUGCUGAAAUUUCGAACAAGCUCAAUCAUUUGACGCCGUCACGUGAUUUUGACCAUUUAAUUGGGAUGGGAGCUCAUAUGAAAAAGAUGGAACAGUAUUUACGUCUAGAUUUGGAUGAAGUGAGGAUGAUUGGGAUUUGGGGUCCGCCAGGGAUUGGAAAGACCACCAUAGCCAGGUUUAUGUUUAACCAACUCUCCAACAAUUUCCAAAAUAGCGCAUUCAUGGUGAAUAUCAAGGGAAGCUAUCCAAGACCUUGUCUUGAUGAGUACACUGCACAAUUUCAACUACAGAAAGAAAUGUUGUGUGAGAUGUUCAAUCAGAAAGAUAUCAUGAUUUCUCAUUUAGGAGUCGUACAAGGACGGUUGGGAGACAGGAAAGUGAUUCUUGUUCUUGAUGAUGUGGAUCGGUUAGCACAACUAAAUGCCUUGGCCAAAAAUGUUCAUUGGUUUGGUCGUGGAAGUCGGAUUAUCAUCACAACAGAAGAUCUAAGACUUUUGAAGGCACAUGGGAUCGACCAUAUAUACAAGGUGAAUUUUCCAUCAAAUGAUGAGUCUCUUCAAAUGUUCUGCAUGUAUGCUUUUGAUCAAAAGUCCCCUAAAGAUGGUUUCGAUGGACUUGCUCGUGAAAUUACAUACCUUGUCGGUGAACUUCCUUUAGGACUGAAGGUUAUGGGAUCCUACUUUCGAGGAUUAUCCAAGGAGCGGUGGUCAAUGGAAGUAUCAAGGUUAAGGACUAACCUUAAUGGAGAAAUUGAGAGCAUUUUGAAGUUCAGUUAUGAUGCUUUAUGUGAUGAAGAUAAAGAUUUAUUCCUUCA
rnacentral:lncRNA from 1 species